rnacentral:lncRNA from 1 species
UUUUCAAGCCAAAUCGUGGACUGUUGCAAGUGUGUUCAUCAAUGGCAAUUCGAGUUUUCAGCUAGAUCGUUCCAAUUCAACUCUCAAGCAUUCAUCCAAAGCUUCAUACAAGAGUGUUAGAUCUUCUGUUUUUGCUUGCCAAGGCCUGGAAACAUCGAUUUCAUUUCUGCACUUCAAAGAAGGUUAGAUUUCGACUUGCUUAAUUCUUGAAAUCAAUGGAUGCUUUUGGUAGAUCUUUGAGUGUAGGUCAUGCUGCAAUUUGAAUCGUUAAAUUUCG